ACGCUCGACACCUACGGAGGCAGCAGUGGGGAAUAUUGCACAAUGGGGGAAACCCUGAUGCAGCGACGCCGCGUGAAGGAAGAAGUAUUUCGGUAUGUAAACUUCUAUCAGCAGGGAAGAAAAUGACGGUACCUGAGUAAGAAGCACCGGCUAAAUACGUGUCAGCAGCCGCGGUAAUCUGAGCGGGCUGGCAAGGC
rnacentral:rRNA from 1 species